AGCUCGCUGCCCUAGCCCCUACAAGAGAGAGGUGUAUGGAGUGCUUUCUUCACGCCUCUGGUUUUAGUCAUAUCCCACACCCAUGCUUGCCACUGGCUGAGUGAGGAGGAGCAGUUCCCCUGAGGUCACUAAUCUGACUGAAUUAGCAGUAGCUCAUUUUUGUUUUAACUGAGCAGUAAGAUUUGCUAACGUCCUACCUGAAGUGCCUUCUCCAAAGACAUCCCUCUUUGCCCUGUGUGUUGAAUCAUCAGUCGGUGAGUGUAUUUCAAUUAAAGCGUCAUUGGUGGACAUGGUAAAGAUAAUAAAAUGCCAUGGCAACUUUGCUGUUAAGUCAUGGGCUCCUUCAUCAAAUUCUUCUUGCUUUGUCUCCUGAAAAGGAAGGACUAGAUCCAGCCCUGGUAGUAGUUCCUUCCUGAGGGCUUUACCUCCUUUAAAAUCCUGAGGAGAUUUGUUUGAGAAGAGCCUGGCUGCCAUUUUCAGAAGACAAAAAUGUACAUUGGAAAAAAAAAGUACAUUGAUUUCCCCCCUACCCCACCUCCCAUCCCGCCUAGCCAUUGAACUUCAGCAUUGAAGCAGUGCCUUCAGUGCUUCAGAACGCAGGUCUGAUCUGAAGGUAAUUACCUUGUAAGAGGAAUGUAAAUGACUGCUGUCUUCUUGUCAAACCUGUAAGGAAAGAGAUUCCAGUUAAGUAUUUGCAACAAGGAUCUUGCGUCCUGUUAUUUUUUCUUACAUUGUCACAUUGAGCGGGUCUCAUUUUUGCGGUAAAUUUUUGACUGUGGACUUUGGGGGCAAGGUCUUUCACCAGCAAACAAGGGUCUGAUUGUACAGUAUAUCUGCUGCAGUAACGUCUCUGCCUGUAGCUUAAGAUCAGUUGGUUUUGCACUUGGAAACCACCUGAUCUUGGCCAGCUUUGUAAAGGGACAUUGAUUUCAUUUAGAUUUCCCUCCAUAAAGUCAGCAAACUAUCAUGUGCUAUAAACUGAUGCCAAGACAAGAUUGUAAUAAUCCCUAGGGUGCUAAGGUUUGCCAUGUGUUUGGUAAAGAUGAUUGUAGGUUCUUGGGUAACGUUACAUGGGAUGGAUUCAGGUGGAGGGACUGCGAAG
ensembl:lncRNA